rnacentral:rRNA from 1 species
GAUGAACGCUGGCGGCGUGCCUAAUACAUGCAAGUCGAGCGAACAGACGAGGAGCUUGCUCCUUCGACGUUAGCGGCGGACGGGUGAGUAACACGUAGGUAACCUACCUAUAAGACUGGGAUAACUUCGGGAAACCGGAGCUAAUACCGGAUAAUAUUUCGAACCGCAUGGUUCAAUAGUGAAAGAUGGCUUUGCUGUCACUUAUAGAUGGACCUGCGCCGUAUUAGCUAGUUGGUAAGGUAACGGCUUACCAAGGCAACGAUGCGUAGCCGACCUGAGAGGGUGAUCGGCCACACUGGAACUGAGACACGGUCCAGACUCCUACGGGAGGCAGCAGUAGGGAAUCUUCCGCAAUGGGCGAAAGCCUGACGGAGCAACGCCGCGUGAGUGAUGAAGGUCUUCGGAUCGUAAAACUCUGUUAUUAGGGAAGAACAAACGUGUAAGUAACUGUGCACGUCUUGACGGUACCUAAUCAGAAAGCCACGGCUAACUACGUG